rnacentral:lncRNA from 1 species
CGGGCGGGUGGGUGAGUUCCGGUAUUUCAGGGCGUAGCAGGCGGAAGUAGGGGUGAGAAGCGGCUGCUGCGCCGAGAGGAGGCAGAAGGCAGAUAACGAGAAGCCGCUGGGUGGGCACCAUGGCCGGGAUCACCACCGUCGAGGCGGUGAAGCGCAAGAUCCAGGUUCUGCAGCAGCAAGCGGAUGAUGCCGAGGAGAGGGCUGAGCGCCUCCAGCGGGAAGUUGAGGGAGAAAGGCGGGCCCGGGAACAGGUACCGAGAGCGAGGCGCACGAGGGAGGUCCAGGCACCGGCGCAGCCGGGACCCCGCAUAGGGCGCCUUUUGCUGUGAUGCGCGGUCCUUUGCGGGCCAAGGAGGCCCCGGAAAUGAAGUUGAGCCCGGAGGAUGGGUGGAGCUCAGCUGCGACGGGACAGCCAGCGGGCCAGCGGGGAAUGGAGCGCUCCGGCGAGCAGGCUUGACCUUUGAAGGAACCGAGCCUCGCGGGGCCCGGGGAGUGGUUUUUCCUCCUUGCAGCUCAUUCAUUCUGUCCCUCGCCGUCGGGCGCGGCCGGGGGAGGGGCUCAGCGGCCUCUCCCUCCCCCACUUCCCGGUGAAGGGUGGGGGGACUUUGGUCUCUCUUGAGGUUUCCGGCCCGAGGAGUAAGAGGGAGUGGGCGCUCCUCUGGUCCGGGAGGGCUGGGCCUAACCUCCCGUGAAAGGGUGCGGGCUGGGGGUGGGAACCGCCGGAAAGCUCUCGGCUCGGCCUGCUGGCUGCUUUUCCGCUCCCCCUCCUACUCAGGAAAUGAGGCAGCAGUCGGCUCAGAGGAAGCGCGGUGCCCUCCCUCGCUGGAGGAGCUUGAGGCCACUGCACCGCCUCCCAUCCUGUGGCCUAGGGCCCUUUCCUCUUACCGGGAGCUCCUUUAACUCCUGUACCCCACACAUUUGUCAUGAAGCGGGAGGGAAAUGAUGGUAUUUCUCUCCCUAAAUCAGUGUGCAAGUGUAGCGUCCAGCCAACUUCCCUGGCCCUACCCAUAAAGACCUGAAAGGCAGGAACGUCUGCUACAUUGAGACCUUCGCUGCUAAAGUUUGAUCAGUGCAGGCUGAACUAGUUAAGAACAUUUCUUCCAAGAAGAACUGAUAAGGGAGUGUAUGGCAGCGAAUCAGAGGUCCGUGCCAAUCUCAAGGUAGUUCUGAUUGAGCUGGGCAAUGUGGUGGAUGCAAACAGAAUAGUUGCUACUUUCCUAAUUGUCCAUACAGUCUUUUUUUUUUAAAGUUCAAUAUUUGUUCAGCUGGAAGUUGGAACAUAAAGUGCUGGUGGAAUGAAUGGUGAUUCUUGAGAUUUCCUUUUAGAAGUGGUUGACUAGUUUUAGUAAGCCAUAAUAUUUUCCAAGAUCUAGGGUGCAGUCUAGUAGGUGAAGCUGAUCUCUUGAAUCUUUGAUUUCAGAGGAUGAGCCUAAAGUAACUGUUGCUAAUAAUGUGAAGACCUGAUGAAAGAACUCUUGUGGUUUCUUGAUAUUCUUCCUCUUGAUAGGUUCUUUUUUUUUUUCUUCAUGCCCAGUGGGAGUGACUGAGAAUUUGUUUUUUGGGGGGAGAAGUGAAAUUUGGAAAGGGGUGGGAAAGGGAAGUUAUAACUUAGCUGUGCUCCAAGUUGAUACUUAUUUUAUAAUAGUAUGGAAAUGCUGCAGCUUGUUGUCUUCCUCAGUUACCUUUUUCUAGGUGGAUUUUUCCUCUGUUCAGUAUACCGGUACCUUCUAAUUUUCAAUUCAAGUGAGAUGGACUGGCUGAGUGACUCAAACAAAUGACACUUUCUCAUCUCUUUUGCUCUGGAGACCAGAUAGCCUUAAAGGGGAAGACAGAGUAUGGAGGAUGUUGAGCUGCAGCAUCUUAGGCUCAUCAUUUAAAUAUGAGCACUCUAAGAAUAAUUUUGGGUAGAUGAUGUUGUGUGUCCCAAGAUUUGGUAAUUUCCUUGCAGGAAAAUUUGGCUCUUUUUUCCCCCUUUCCUUGGUGAUUCUGGGGUGAUAAGCAACAUAGAGUGAGCAGUUUCAUAAGUAGCUUACUCCCUCACUCAGCCUACCAAAUUUGCAUAGUGAGCUGAGGUCUAGUGAGGAAGUUUUUAAAAUGGAGAAGUGGGGAAGUAGGGUGAUAGUUAAAUAUUGAUGAAACCAGUAUCUACUCUUCCUUAGCCUGAGGGAACAUAAUCUUUUGGCUUUCUGCUCUAGUGAACUUUAAACUCUCCUGAGGUAAAAUGAUGGUAGGAAGGGAAAGGGAUGCCUGAACCACCUGUUAUUCUACUUGUUUUUUCAUCCCAUGCUGGGAAUUGAAUCCAAGGCCUCCUGUGUGCUAGGCAAGCUCUUUACCACUAAGCUUGAUUCCCAGCCCUGUUAUUCUCCUAAGGGCAUUCUGGAAUGUGGAUUUUGCCGGUUCCUCCCUCUAGAGCUGGAAGCUCAGCACUCCCUGAUGAUAUCUCAGGCUGUUGGUGGGACUGUCAAUUAUUUUUUUAGUUACUUUGUAUGAAUACCCAGCAGCCCAUGUUGUGAAGUUGGAUGAGAUCAAAGCUGAGACACUGGAGUUGUUCUGAAAAGAUCAGUCUUUUCUGGUCUCAAACUGGAGAUGGACCUUUUUAAAUGUAGCACCUUCUCAAAUCCACUUUUAGUUUUGAGUUUCCUUUGUAUUUCUGGCAAUAUAAAAUUUAAAUGUAGGUCUUCUUAACCUGAUUUGUGUGGUAAAAAUGAUACAUAUGUAACAUUGUAACCUUUUCCUCCUUUCCACAGGGGGUCUUUUAGAUUUUUCUUGAACUCUGAACUCAUGAGCUCAAGUGAUCUUCCUGCCUCAGCCUCCCAAAUGGCUGGGGCUAGGAGAAUGAACUCUACACUGAGCUACAGUCCUAGCCCUCUUUUUAAAAUAGCCCCCCUCCCCUUUUUGUCCUGGCCUGAAAUUUUAGGAAUUUUGUUGAGGGGAGUGAGUGAGCAUUUGAACAGCUGUUUUGAUUCUGGCUUUAAUCCCCAAUUCCUAGUCUCUGGAGAGGGUUAGAAUGUUUGUAGUGAUUCUCUCCGUUUGUGGGGUCUGGUGGGUAUCACCUUCCUUUGGUUUAGAUUUGCUUUCCUGCUGCUUACCAUUCUCUGCCCCCAUACCAGAGCACACUCAUAGGGGAGAAGCAAAUAGCCCUUUGCUCUGAGUGCCUCUAUUUAGGCUCCACCUUUGUUUACUUUUGGACCAGCAAACAGUUCUAUUCCCUUGCUCCCAACAUGCCUCCCUCCCCCUUGAUAAAUUUAAAUUCCCCCAAGGACAUGGUAUCUAGCUCCCUGGUAGAUCUUUUUGUGAACACAAUGAGUUCCAGCAGUCCCUUACAGGCACAGGGCUCAAGCUUAACUUUCCUAGUACUCUCUUUUUCUUUUAAUUCCAUCUGUAGCUUUUAUCUAAAAAGAGAAACUCCAGUGUGGCAGAGUGCCAGAUUUAGGCAAAUCCCCUUCUGUCCUUGGCCCUGUUCUGCCUCUGAGAACCAGUGCACUGUCAGUUUCUUGCCUUUAGGGGUGUGGUUUACUUUGGGACUUUCUCUGGAGUGGAGGAUGGUAGCAUUUAAACCAAACUUUUGGCACAGCUGGAGUUGCUGUCAGCCAUCUUCUAAUGUGACCAAAUUCCUGUUGGGUUCCACUUCCACCACCCCUGAGAUCUUUGCCUCCUGGGCCCUGAAGCAUCCUUUUAUUACUUGAAGGGAAAGACCUCAGACUAUAUCUUCCAAGCUGGGCCAGAGGGGGGUAGACUGAAAGGCUAAGACCAUAUCUGGGUGAGCAUGCUAAAACCUAGGCUUACUAGAAACACACAAAAUUUAAUGUUUCCCAGGGCCAGUGUGGUUUGCAAAAGGUAGAACUUUCUUUAUUGUUGACCUGAAAGGGAGAGGCCUUGUGCAUAGGCUGGCUCUGGCUUGAAGGGAAAGAAAGUCAGGUUGUUUUCCUUAUUUCUUUAAAAAGAGUAUCAGAUCUCAAUUCUGCUGAUUCUCUAUGGGCAAAGGGGGAAAAACAGUGAUGACCUGGAGCCCCAACCUUUGGGAUCUCUGAAGACUUCAUAGGGACUCCCAUCUUGGGUUCUGCUUUUGAUAGUCUUGUGUGCGCAUGCUCUUAUAAGGGAACCAAGAGGCGUUUUCUCCUCCCUUUUCAGCCUUAUGAAGAAUUCUAUUGUAAAUGCUGAUUUGUGGGAGAAACUGCCUGAGCCAGCUUGUUGUCAUGGAAACUACAACCCUGCCCCCAUAGCUUGUUAUCUUCUACUCCAAUUUGGGUAACUACUGAGCUGGUGGGGACUUGCAUUUUAUGAGCUUCCUCCCAAGUAUAGUUCCAUAUUUUGUGUUUUCAUUUUAGGUGUCUGAAAGGGGGUAAAUAAUUGUAUUGUACUGCAGUAUCUCUCAGUUCCUGCCUGAUAGCCUGUAUCUUGACUGAUUGGCCUUGUUGGUCUGGGAAGAGAAAUCUGUAUUGUCCUAGGGGACAUAUGUUUUCCUGGAAUAGUAUGGUUAGAGACACAAAUGUUUUCUUAGUAGUUUCAGCUUAUGUAGACUUGUCAAUUUUUUUUUUCCCUGUAGUCUGGUGGUUAGAUUUUUGCCCCAAUUCCCUGCCCCCCCCCCCCUUCCCUGGCCCUUGAACCUCCUAUGUUUGUAUGUGGAAAUUUUUGUACCAGUCCUGGUUGCUACCAGGAGUCUUUUGGGCUAUAUCCUUCCCCAUAGGACUGGUGGCCCAGAUUUCUAAGCUGCUGCCACCCUGCCUACUAGGAGGAAAUCAGGGUAAUAGAAUUCAGGCAGUCUGAGCUGUGGAGGAGAGAUCAUGUUUACCAGGCACUUGGAUAAGCAUCUGAACUGGGUGGUUUGCAGGGCAGAUUAAAUUCUUGCAUACUUAAAGCAAUCACAGGAAGGAGACUUUUUCUACCUUUAGAAUCUGUCCACGUGCAGGCAGCCUCCCUCCUUCCUUGUUUCUCAUCCCAUAGCCAGACCUUACAUUUACUCACUCAAGCUUGGAAGUCAGUUACAGGGUUGAUAUAAACUGUAUUGGAAAAUGAAGGUAAGGGGAUGAUUAAAGAAAUCGAAAGAAUUCAGGAAUUUGGAGGCAGGAGUGGUGGAAUGUUUACUUGUGGGUUUUUGUUGUUAUUGUUUCGUUUUUGGUAAUGUCACCAAAGCAGAUACUUUUAGCCAGAAACAGCUCUUCCUUGGCAACUCAAGGAGUUGAGGAGGCACGUUGAAGGCAUGGAGGAAGGUAUUCCAGUGUUCCAUUCUUUUGCUUUCCACUGGAAGGCUAGUCUGGUGAACAUUCUCUCGCUUGUUUACUUCCUGGUAUUUUAGGGUAAGGAAAUCAGAGGGUUAAAAACUCAAGUUAAGCAAUAAAAUAAUGGAUAAUCCAAGGUUUUCUCUUUAAGAGCCUUGCUCAUUUUCUAUUUUAUGAGACAUUUACAAGAAAGUUGCUGAGUGAGAUGUACCUCCCAGUCAGAACUCAGGUAGAAAGAACCUUUUCGGGCUACCUUUUCUUACCCCAACGUGUUAGGAAUUUGAACUAAGUCCAAGAGGAAUGGGGUACUGUCAGUGAUCUGGGCAAGGAACUGAGGGGUUUUUUUGUUUUUUUUAAAUUUUAUUUUGAGACAGGGUCUUAUUAAGUUACUGAAGGUCUUAAUAAAUUACCCAUGUGGGCCUUGAACUUAUGAUACUCCUGCAUUAGUCUCCCAAGUUGCUGGGAUUAUAGGCACACACCCCCAUGCCUGGCAAGGAACUGAAGUUUUUAAACACUCCCCCUGUGGAACAUAUGGGAGUUCGUUGGUGGGAAAGGGAGGAAGAUACAUAUAUAUAUCUUCCUCCUGUCUGUUAGAUCUUUUAGCAUCUGAGCUAAGACAGGUUCUACCCUAGAAUCUUGCCUCUUCAUGGUAGUCAGCCCCAAUCUUACUGUCUUAGUUCUUUUCAUCCAUUAAUUUAUUGCUUAACUUUUCCAUUCUUUCAUUCAAAUGCAGGCUGAGGCUGAGGUAGCCUCCUUGAACCGAAGGAUCCAACUGGUUGAAGAGGAGCUGGACCGUGCUCAGGAGCGCCUUGCUACUGCCCUGCAAAAGCUGGAGGAAGCAGAAAAAGCUGCUGAUGAGAGUGAGAGGUGUGUGGGGGAGUCUGAGAGAAUAUGGAUUUCAGACGCACUUCAUAGGCUGGCGAUGUAGCUCAGGGACGGAGCACUUGCCCUGCAUGCACAAGGCCUUGACAAAACAAAAACAAAAACAGAGCAAAAAACAGACAAGUACAUAAUGACUCUGAACAGAAUUUUCCUAGAGACUUGUAUUUUGUUUUUUUGUGGUGCUAAGGAUUGAACCCAGGGCCUCACACAGGCUCUACCACUGCUUUUUUUUUUUGUAUUAGGGAUCUAGCACAGGGGUGCUUAAUCACUGAAUCACAUGUUUAGUUCUUUUUAUUUUGAGGUGGGGUCUUGCUAAGUUGCUGAGGACCUCGCUAAAUUGCUGAGGAUGGCCUCAAACUUGCAAUCCUUCUGCCUCAGCCCUGAGUUGCUGGGAUUGCAGGUGUGUGGUAUCACUUCAAGCCAGACCUCUUUUUAAAAACGCUAACCUCUAGGGCUGGGGUUGUGGCUCAGCGGUACAGCGCUUGCCUAGCACGUGCGAGGCCCUGGGUUCGAUCAUCAGCACCAUAUAAAAAUAAAUAAAUAAAAUAAAGGUAUUUUGUCCAACAUCAACUAAAAAAUAAAUAUUAAAAAAAGGUAACCUCUAUAUUAUAAUCUUCUUUCCUUCUGUUUUGCAUAUUCUUUCUGUUUUUUUGUACCAGAACUGGUACAAAAAUUUCCACAUACAAGUCAGUGCUGAUGCAUAUAUAUUUGUGCCUCCCUUGCAUUCCCUUCUCCCAGAGAUGACAUAUCAUGACCAUGGUGGUGUUUUCUCAUGUUUUUGUGAAUGUUUUUUCUUUUUAUACAGUAAGGGUUACCUAGACCUCUGACCCAUUUGUAAUGUUAUUUAUUUAUUUAUUUUCCCCCCUAUAUACUGACCUAACACUCCUUAAAAGGGAGUAACCAUGUGGCUUCCACUUUGUGGAUCAUACACUUCCAUUUGUGAGAUUAGUCCCCUUUAACAUAGGCUCUCAAAGUCAAGUCUCAAACCAUCAGCAUGAACAACAUCUAGGCACUUGGUAGAAAUUAAAAUUCUCAGUUUCUCCCUGAGUUACUAAAUGAAAAACUCUAGAGGCAGAACCUAGCAAUCCACUAAAGCUUUUCAUCCUGGCUGUACUAUUAGAAUCGAGGGGGUGCAUAGAAGGGGAUGCUUGGAUCCCACCCCGUUUCAGUUGGUAUUAAUUGCAAGAGAGGUGCAGGCACUGCUGUUUUAAAAAUGCCUCAGUAAUUUUAAUGUGUGACUAAGGUCAAGAGCCAAAUCACAAUAGAGGGUACAUAACAACUUGCAUGGUAUUGAACUAAGACUUUUCAGAAUUAAAAGUGCCCUUUUGGGAAAACUAACACUGUAUAGCUGUGCAAAGGAACAAGACAGCUAUAUGGGUACUAGUGUCCAUAUGGUGGAAAGUGUGGAAAGGGUAGUGUAGUAUGUGAUUCUUUUGGGGAAGUUGGGGUGGAGUUUUUUGCAUGUAUCUAUGUGAAACGGAUUGAGGAAGGGCUUACCUCUGAGCACGACUAGAAAUGAGAAGGGAAACAGUUUUGACUUUAUGCCCUUAGCCUAUACACUUAAGUAUUUAAUUUCUUACCAAGUGUCUAUUAUUUUUAUAAGAAAUGGGAAAGGAGAGAGAGAAUGAAAGAAUGAAAGAAGGAAGCAAAUUCAGGUGUGCAAGUUGUGCUACAGAAUUUCUAUUUGAAUGACCGAGAGGAAUGCGAUUUAAAAGGUGCAAUUUUGAGUCCAUUCUGUGAGUCCCUUGGGAUGGAGUGUCAGUGCUGCGUUCAUCCUUUUUCUGGCAGAGGUAUGAAGGUUAUUGAAAACCGGGCCCUAAAAGAUGAAGAAAAGAUGGAACUCCAGGAAAUCCAACUCAAAGAAGCUAAGCACAUUGCAGAAGAAGCAGAUAGGAAGUAUGAAGAGGUAGGUCUGUCCUCCUUGAUUCAGUGACAUCAGGCUUCUGCAAAGAAUCAGGAGGGAACUGGUUCCUUCUUUGCUUUCUUGAGCAGUACCUGAAUCUGUUCUUAUAGGUGGCUCGUAAGUUAGUGAUUAUUGAAGGAGACUUGGAACGCACAGAGGAACGAGCUGAGCUGGCAGAGUCGUGAGUAUCUCACUCCCCAGAUCUUGUUGUACUGUUCCAUCCCUUCCCUUUUGGCUUGGACACUGAUACGUAUAAACGAGCAUUCUUUCAACCUUGUUAAACAGGGCCUACAAGGUAGAAGUCUUCUAUGAGUGCUUUUAGACUCUUGGGCUUCCUCACUGUCUUGACCACCUACCAGGUGACAAAUGAGGCUUGCUGAUUUCUUCUUGGGAAGAUUUACAAAUUGAGGGAAUAUAAAGACUAAUAAUGGUGAACAGUUAACUGGUGCUGUGGGUCCUUUAUAUAACUGUGGGUCAUUUCACCUGGGAGGUCUUUCUCCUUGAAGCGUUGAAGUGCCUAGUGACUUAAGAGCUGGUCUCUGUUUUGACCACUUUGCCAAUCUGCUGGGCAACUUUCGGGCAGAGGCAGAUAUUACCUUCUCCCCAUCGGUACCUUCCUGGCCUGUAUAACAAAGUCAGUGCUGAUGCAUGUAUAUUUGUGCUUCCCUUGCAUUCCCUUCUCCCAGACAUGACAUAUCAUGACCAUGGUGGUGUUUUUUUCAUGUUUUUGUGAUUUUUUUUUUUUUUUUUCAUUUUGCUGCUUGUUUUUUUGCUGUGUUCCUUUUUCACCUUUCUCCCUCCCCACAACCUGGCUUGUGCCAUCCCCGUGACUAUCACUAACAGCCGUUGCCGAGAGAUGGAUGAGCAGAUCAGACUGAUGGACCAGAACCUGAAGUGUCUGAAUGCUGCUGAAGAAAAGGUACUAACCAUUAAACUCACAGAGAGUUUCCUUGUAUGGUGUGGUUUUGUUUGGUUUUGUUUUGUUUUGUUUUGCAGCUUCCUCCCCUCCACCGGUUGACUUGUUGAGUGCUUUCUCAUCUCUUCAUGGAAUGCUCCAUACUUUCCACUUAUUUGGCAUCUUUCAUCCUUUCUUUCCCAGUUAUUUCACUGCCUCUCAACAGAGUCUCUCCUUCCUUGGGGUGAUUUGGGGGACUGUUGGGGUUGGGCAUCCAUUCCCACCUCUACCCCAGAUAGUUGUGACUCGUUCCUGAUAGUGGUUUCUAUCAAGUGUUCUUUCUUUAUUAGUGUACAGAUAUUCUGAGCAGGAGGGUCCAGCUGCUCCUGAUGUGUUCCAUGGUAGAGGGAGGAGGGUUAAUGCUUGCUCAGAUUACCAAGGAACUUCUCUUCCCCAGUAUGCCUUCCAACUCUCUACAUGAUAGGUUCAAUUCACGUCUGUGUGUCUCUCUCCCUUUUUUUUUAUUCUCUUCCUCUUCCCCUUUCCUCUCCUGUGGUAUUUAAAAUGUUCACAGUAAGUGUUCUGAGCUGGAGGAGGAGCUGAAGAAUGUCACCAACAACCUCAAGUCUCUUGAGGCUCAGGCGGAGAAGGUAGGGGCUGGUUUGUGAAGGUGACAGGCUUUGGGGCCUGGGCCCAGCCCUGCCCUUGAUGAAAGACUGGAGAUACCCAUUUCUUAUAAUCCAGUGAGAAAUGUCCUCUUCCUCCCCAUGACUGUCCAUCCAGAUCCUGGGUUUAAUGCAAUCUCCUGUGCACUUUGAUUGCUUUAGUUAAAAUAACGUCAUGAUCUUGGGCACCUAGAGUCUUGUGCUCUCAGGCUGGUGCUGCUUUGCUGAGAGGCAUGAUCAGGGGCCCUAAUAGACUUUCUUGUAAAUCGAUAGGGCAACAGAAUCAGUUCUAAGAUUAAUGAGCAAUCAAGACAGAUUUCUCUUUAUUUUCAUGGGGAAGUAUUUUAGUCGUGUUGACUUAGGGUGUCUUUAUUCCUGCUCAUUCAUCAGUAGGAAGGAAAAACUUUGCAUUGAUAUGAGUAAGAUCAAAGCUUAACUCUGGUUUAAAAAUAAAGGUCCUGGUCUACUCUCAGGGUAUCAUGGCUAUAAAGAAAUAGAUGGACUUUAAGAACUGGUUGUCUAAAAUUGGGCCUUGCUCGUAACUCUUAGGUCAUUCAGCAUAUUAAAUACAAGAGGAUAUUCAAUAUAAGAAUAAAUGUAGGGGCCUGGGGAUGUGGUUCAGUGGUAGGGUUCUUACGUGGCAUGCACAAGGCACUGUGUUAAAUCCCUAGCACUGCAGAAAAACCAAAAAAAAAAGAGAGAAAGAAUAUAAUAGGAGUAAAUGUCAUGGGGGCGGGUAUUGUCUGUAGGACUAAUUUCUACUCUGAAACUUUUAUUCUACUUCUUUACAGUACUCUCAAAAAGAAGACAAAUAUGAGGAAGAAAUAAAGAUUCUCACUGAUAAACUCAAGGAGGUGAGUUGAGGGAUUAAUGAAAUAUAUAAGAAAUUAAUAUAUAAUAAAUUAUAUAAUAAUAUAAUUAUAUAAUAUAUAAUAAUUAUAUAAUAAUAUAUGCUAAAUAAUACGUUUUCUAAGAAAUCAAUGUAGACUUAGAUUGGCUGGUUUAGAUUCUGCAAAUCCAGUAUGGAGGUAGGAAAUGGAAGAAAUAGAUAUCCUUCUCUUUGACUUGUCAUCUCACAUUCUGGUUGGUUUUUUGUUUUCCCUAGGCAGAGACCCGCGCUGAGUUUGCCGAGAGAUCGGUAGCCAAACUGGAAAAGACAAUUGAUGAUUUGGAAGGUAUGGAGCCUGGGCGAGGGAUUAAAAUAAAGACAUAUAGAGGAG